GUAACAGAAAUGGGGUUGAAUCAUGGCAAGCAGCUUGAUCAUGGGGAUAGUAUACCCAGUGAUUCCCCAGUUUAUUUAAUGAAACAGAAAUAUGGCCCUUCAAAUAUUAUGUAUUCAAAGAAAUGGGCAAAGUUAACUAAGAAUAAUAUAAAUCCAUGGCCAGUGGUGGGGUCAUUAGACCCUUGGGUGUUGUUAAGUUUAAGAACAAUGUUGUUAAAUGGAAAAAGUCUUUCAAAACUGGAAUGGUCUGCAUAUAUGUUAUGGCAUGAGGAAAUUGAAAAGAAAAAACAAGAAUGUUCCCCCCAGUCAGGUGUAGCAGGAGGGGCAUGUAAAGGAGAGGGUACUGGUGUUGCCUGUUUAUUUCCCUCACUGGAAAAUUUAAAAAGAAAUGUUAAAAAUCCUCCACCUUAUAAUGAUGAGGAUUUUUUGAUUAAUCAUGAGAUUAUGAAUUCCCCUUUGGGUCACCCCCCUCAGCAGAUGGUUGAUGCACCACAGCUUGUACCCCAAAAUUUAGCUGGUGCCCCGGCCAUGUUGCAUCGAGGUGGUAGACCUGAGAGGGAUAUUAGACUGCCUAAAAGAUUUGCUGAUCAUGCUGUGGUUACUAUCAGGUUUAUCAGGAUGUAGCAAUGUGUUGCCUGAGAGUGAUGGGAGUGAGGCUAUGAUUUUACCUAUUAGAGAAGUGGGACAGAUGGAUAAUGAUGGGAGACCACGGAGGAUUUGUCAACCGUGGAGCCCACAAGACAUAGCAUUUUUAUAGGUAUCAUUUCCUGCCCCCUCUAGAUCCAAAUGGGUUUGUAAAACAUUUAAAAAUAAUGUGUGCCAGCUAUUUCCCCACAGCAUAAGAUCUUAAUGAGUUAAUGGAGACAGUAUUAACCCCUACAGAACAUACUAAAUGGGUGGCAGGAUAUAACGAGUCACCUUUUUCAUGGCCUGCAGGGGUGGGGGGACAAGCAGUUGCACACAUAUGGGAAAAUUGCCCUGAUGAGAGGAGUGAUGUUGUCCUUAAGAAUUGGUAUGCAUUCCUCAGCAUUAAAGUAAAAACUGUUUUUACCCAGCCUAUUGACUAUACAUAGCAUAGUGCAAAAGAAAGGAGAAAACCCCUAUGAAUAUGCGGAAGCAAUUAAGGUUUUUGGAAGUUUUGAAGAUAUCACGAAUUAAUCAAUUAAGCCGUUCAUAGUGAAUACCUUAGUAAAUGGUUUGGAUGCUAAAGUAAAAAAAAACAAUUGAUGUUAUCCUUACUGGGAUGACGGGAUAAAUCACUUAAUAUUGUAUUAAGUGCAGCAUCAGAAAUUUGACAAGCUAUUCAAAUCAAGGAAAAUGCAAAAGCUGAGCACAUAAUGCUACAAGCUGAACAAAUUCCUGUUAGAUAUUAUGCACAUCAGCCAAGACAAAACAUAGCCAGAAGACCCCCACAGAAUAAUGUAAGAACAUUUAUCAAAUGUUUCAAUUGUGAUGGAUAUGGUCAUAUAGCAACAGAUUGCAAGGAGGUAAAGGGGACAAGAAAGCAAUUAGAAGAAAAAGACAGACUAGAUGUAGAGGAAGAUUGGGGUCUGAAUAUGUAUUGUUAGUGUACCUGUGACCCAAGGUCCAGAACCUAUGGUACAUUUGAAAGUAAAGGGAUUGUAUGUGAUACUGAGGGAAGAAGAAGUAAGUAAUUUUGGUGGGGAGAAUGUAUAUUUAGUGGAAGACCAGCAUUGCCAUCAUUGUUGUUUAAUUCUGAAUGGUCAAGGCUGGGCCUAGAAUCUGUAUUGGCACUGGUGUGUUCUUCAUGUGUUAUUUGUUUACAAUACAAUGCAGGUCAGGGACCUAGGAUUAAGCAGCUAAAUCAUCCUCCCUGUUCAUGAGGUCCAUUUGUAAAUUUACAAAUGGAUUUCAUUGAAUUACCAAAGGUAAUGCAGUACCGGUAUGUGCUAGUAAUAUUAGAUACAUUCUCAGGUUGGAUUGAGGCUUAUCCUUGUUGCCAUGCCGAUAUGUCUACAAUGUUUAAGAAAUUGUUACAAGAAUUUAUACCCAGGUAUGGAUUGCCUCGGCACAUUUACUCAGAUCAGGGAACACAUUUCACAGGAAAAGUAGUGCAACAGAUAGCAAAAAUUUAGCAAAUCCCUUACCAUUUACAUUGCUCUCAUCAUCCUCAGUCAGAAGGAGCAGUAGAAAGGGCCAAUGGAACAUUGAAAAAUAAAAUUGCAAAAAUUGCAGCAGAGAAAGUUAAAGUGGCCUGAUGCACUUCCUCUUGCCUUAAUGUCUAUGAGAUUCUCUCCAGCUCGAAAGCAGGGUUAUCCCUGUUCACAGGAGGGGUACCUAUAAAAUGUUAUUCUCAUGAGAUAAAUGAUGAUUUAGUAAUGACGUAUUGCAUGUAGCUAACAAAACGAUUAGUCUCUCUAUAUGCAGGUAAAAGCUGUACAGCGAACAAGUGAAUACCAACCUUUGCAUGCCAUCGCUCCUGGAGAUUAUGUUAUGAUAAAAGACCAUUCACGAAAGCACGCGUUGCAACCAAGGUGGAAAGGACCUUGUCAAGUGUUAUUAACCACUAAUUCAGCUGUUAAAGUCGCAGGGGUUAAAUCUUGGAUCCACAUUUCCCAUUGUAAACUGACAAGCGCUGAAAAAGAUUUUUCACUGGAAGAAUAGAGGACUAAGGAAGCCGUUUUCCCUUCUAAAAAGGGGUACUUUAUAAGGGGAGUAUCUUUCUAAUCCAAAGUCAACUCUACUGUUUUUCUUCAUGAAUCUCAAACUGGUUAAACUUAUAUUGUCCUUAAUGAUUGUCAUUAUGACAUUUUUUAAUUUUUCAUCCUCUACACUACGUUAGCUCCUCUUUUUUUCUUUAAUACACGUGUAGCUUGGGCCAGGGAGCCAAGUAUUUUUCUUCUUGGGAGAUAGAUAAUCAUUUCGUUAAAACAGCUACUGAAUUGUAUAAAUUGUCAAACAAAAGUAAUCAUUGUUGGGUUUGUGGGUUUGUUCCGCAUUCCAUGAACUAUGGUUAUCCUUUUGUGGGGGUGCCAUGGUCUAUGGAAUCUUUAUGGGUCUUUGUGAGAAAAUAAGAGCAAAUAAAACGGGGUUUGUUGGAUUUAUUCAGAAUGAAGUAUCCAAAUCUGGCGAACCUGCUAAGGUUCAUUUAACAUAUCCUAUUACUAGCAGAGCAGUAGUAAUUUCUAACAGGGAUCAGAAAAGUCCUGACAAGAUUGUUAAGCCUAUAAGCAAUGCUAUUGUUAUUUUUGAAAACAAUGUCCUUUAUAAUCUAUGUGGGUCUGAAACUAAUUCUGCCCCUUGUACUGGUAGAUUGAAAGCUUUUUGUUGGAAACCCUUAUUAGAAGAUAUUUUAACAAAAUGUCCCAUCAAGGAUAGAAUCCCGGUGAUUACUAAUCAUGUAUGGGUAAAUUUGACUUCUGAGGUAGAAAUCAUGGAUAAUAAUUAUGACCAGAAUGAACAUUUAAAUGUCACUAUUUUGAGAUGGGCCUACUUUAAUACUCAAACUUUAACUUCCAAUCUUUUUAUGCUACUGCCCUAUAUUAAUCAACCUAUUUUUGACUGCUCAGAUUCUCGUGUUAUUGAUAUUCAUCUUCCAUUUGGGGUAUACUAUUUAUCUGGUAGUUGGGCAGUAAAAAGACUUCCAUGUAAUUGGGUGGAAACUUGUUAUGUAGGUAAUAUUAUCCCAGCUUUAACCCUUCAUGAAAAUUUGCCUGAAGAAAGGGUGAGGAAUAAAAGAAAGGUUAUUAGUUCCAAAAAAGAUAAAACCGAAAGAACUGUAAAAUAUGGUGAAGAAGAUAGGCUAUUUGCAGGUUUUGUACCUACAUGGGGGGGUUAUUGAAUUAAUGUAUAAAUUAAACUUGUU
rnacentral:lncRNA from 1 species